ACGUGGGUGAUCUACCUCUGAGUGGGGGAUAACGUUCCGAAAGGAGCGCUAAUACCGCAUGACGUCCUGGGUUUGAAGACCUGGACACCAAAGUCGGGGACCGCAAGGCCUGACGCUUGGAGAGGAGCCCGCGCCUGAUUAGCUAGUUGGUGAGGUAACGGCUCACCAAGGCGACGAUCAGUAGCCGGCCUGAGAGGGCGGACGGCCACACUGGGACUGAGACACGGCCCAGACUCCUACGGGAGGCAGCAGUGGGGAAUUGUUCGCAAUGGGCGCAAGCCUGACGACGUAACGCCGCGUGGAGGAUGAAGGUCUUCGGAUUGUAAACUCCUGUUGAUCGGGAAGAAUGGACUCCGGGUGAAUACUCCGGGGUAAUGACGGUACCGAUUGAGGAAGCCACGGCUAACUCUGUGCCAGCAG
rnacentral:rRNA from 1 species